rnacentral:rRNA from 1 species
UACGUAGGGUGCGAGCGUUAAUCGGAAUUACUGGGCGUAAAGUGUGCGCAGGCGGCCGCGCAAGUCGAGUGUGAAAGCCCCGGGCUUAACUUGGGAAUUGCGCUCGAAACUACGUGGCUAGAGUGUGGCAGAGGGAGGUGGAAUUCCACGUGUAGCGGUGAAAUGCGUAGAUAUCGGAAGGAACAUCAGUGGCGAAAGCGGCUUCCUGGACCAGCACCGACGUUCAGGCACGAAAGCGUGGGGAGCAAACAGG